rnacentral:rRNA from 1 species
CUGUCAAGUCGGAUGUGAAAUCCCCGGGCUCAACCUGGGAACUGCAUUCGAAACUGGCAGGCUAGAGUCUUGUAGAGGGGGGUAGAAUUCCAGGUGUAGCGGUGAAAUGCGUAGAGAUCAGGAGGAAUACCGGUGGCGAAGGCGGCCCCCUGGACAAAGACUGACGCUCAGGUGCGAAAGCGUGGGGAGCAAACAGGAUUAGAUACCCUGGUAGUCCACGCCGUAAACGAUGUCGAUUUGGAGGUUGUGCCCUUGAGGCGUGGCUUCCGGAGCUAACGCGGUAAAUCGACCGCCUGGGGAGUACGGCCGCAAGGUUAAAACUCAAA